rnacentral:misc_RNA from 1 species
GUCUUCAUUGAGACAUCGAUUUCUUUCUGGCUAAGAGAACACCUACUUUUUUCCUCAUACACUAAACCAAACUCUAUAUAUCAAUAAGACACAAUACACUGAAGCAACAAGGCAUAGAACUAUAGCAUUUAGAAACACCUACGCAAACCAUGGCUCGUCUCUUAUCUAUCUUCUUCCUCUCUUUCGUUCUAACCCUAAAAACCUUCCAUGGAAUCCAGGCAGUUGAAUACAUAGUCACAAACCGAGCUCCAACGACCCCAGGAGGAAUCAAGUUCAACAACGAACUUGGCGUCGAAUACACUAAACAAACAAUGGCAUUAGCGAGUGACUUCAUCUGGAGCCUCUUCCAGCAAAACACUGAAGCUGACAGAAAGAACGUGCCCCGUGUAUCCCUGUUUCUCGAUGAUCUUGGU